UCCCGUCCGUGUCGCCAGCGUCGACCCGAUCUGCGCAGCGGUGCCGGUCCACCGCAGCAGCCCCAUGCUGCGCCGUUGAUCUGCGCGGUUCGACUGUCUCCGCGUCUCGCUUCGCCGAAUCUGCGCAGCGCCGACGUGCCAUCGUGGGAACCCGUGCCCUUGUCGACGUCACGCCUUGCGCAUCGCUCGUCGGCAAAGAGCCCAAACUAAUGGCAUGCAUGCGCGGCACGAGUCGGCCAGGACCGAGAGAUGAUGAUCGAGCCAGUGAUGUGGUGCCAACCACAAGAUGCCGUGGUGGACGACCUGAAGAAUGGACUUAACUAGUGGAUGCUCGCCAAGCGAGUACCUCCCCAACAAACACUGUCUAAGUGUUAAAUUAAAG